GUGGGGAAUAUUGCACAAUGGGCGAAAGCCUGAUGCAGCAACGCCGCGUGAGUGAUGAAGGUCUUCGGAUUGUAAAGCUCUGUCUUUUGGGACGAUAAUGACGGUACCAAAGGAGGAAGCCACGGCUAACUACGUGCCAGCAGCCGCGGUAAUACGUAGGUGGCGAGCGUUGUCCGGAUUUACUGGGCGUAAAGGGUGCGUAGGCGGAUGUUUAAGUGAGAUGUGAAAUACCCGGGCUUAACUUGGGUGCUGCA
rnacentral:rRNA from 1 species